rnacentral:rRNA from 1 species
CACGGACCAAGGAGUCUAACAUGUGCGCGAGUCAUUGGGUGUACACUAAACCUAAAGGCGCAAUGAAAGUGAAGGCCACCUGGGUUCGGUGGCUGAGGGAAGAUGGCACCAGGUCGCGGUACCCUUUACGAGGUCCCGACCAUGGACCCGCAUUCCCGGGGCGUCUCAUCCUCAUUGCGAGGAGAGGCGCACCUAGAGCGUACAUGUUGGGACCCGAAAGAUGGUGAACUAUGCCUGGCCAGGAUGAAGUCAGGGGAAACCCUGAUGGAGGUCCGAAGCGAUUCUGACGUGCAAAUCGAUCGUCGGAGCUGGGUAUAGGGGCGAAAGACUAAUCGAACCAUCUAGUAGCUGGUUCCCUCCGAAGUUUCCCUCAGGAUAGCUGCCACUCGGAGGAGUCUCAUACGGUAAAGCGAAUGAUUAGAGGCCUUGGGGCCGAAACGACCUCAACCUAUUCUCAAACUUUAAAUGGGUGAGAACUCAGGCUUGCUUGGGUACUGAAGCCGGAGACGGAUCUUGAGUGGCAAGUGGGCCAUUUUUGGUAAGCAGAACUGGCGCUGUGGGAUGAACCAAACGCUGAGUUAAGGCGCCUGAAUCGACGCUCAUGGGAUACCAUGAAAGGCGUUGGUUGCUUAAGACAGCAGGACGGUGGCCAUGGAAGUCGGAAUCCGCUAAGGAGUGUGUAACAACUCACCUGCCGAAGCAACUAGCCCUGAAAAUGGAUGGCGCUGAAGCGUCGUGCCUAUACUCGGCCGUCAGUGGCAUUGGGAGCGGCCUUUACUUUCGGGUACUGGCUCGACUCGAAGAAGCCCUGAUGAGUAGGAGGGUCGCGGCGGUGAGCGCAGAAGGGCAUGGCGUGAGCCUGCCUGGAGCCGCCGUCGGUGCAGAUCUUGGUGGUAGUAGCAAAUACUCUGGAGAGGGCCUUGAGGGCCGAUGUGGUGAAGGGUUUCGUGUGAACAGUAAUUGCACACGAGUCAGUCGUUCCUAAGCCCUAUGUGAAGGUUGAUGCCGAUGGGUGGUCGAAGGUGGCCUUAAUCGACACCCCCGGCGGGCGAAAGGGAAUCCGGUAAAUAUUCCGGAACCCGGUGUGGAACCGUCCCGGGCCUCUCGCGAGUCUUGGUCGGGGUAACCCGAAAUAACCCGGAGACGCCGUCGGGAGUUCUGGGAAAAGUUAUCUUUUUUCUUUGAGCGUUCGGGUUCCCUGGAAUCCUCUAGCAGGGAGAUAGGGUAUGGAGCGCGAAGAGCACCGCAGUUGCAGCGGUGUCCAGAUCUUCCCCACGGACCCUGAAAAUCCGGGAGAGGGCCACGCGGGACAUCCACACUGGUACGUACCUAUAACCGCA